CUUGGUCAUUUAGAGGAAGUAAAAGUCGUAACAAGGUUUCCGUAGGUGAACCUGCGGAAGGAUCAUUAGUGAACGCCCUCACGGGCUUAUAACUAUUCCAAACCUCUGUGAACCGUGCCCUUCGGGGCUAUUUUACAAACAUGGUGUAAUGAACGUCAUAUAUCAUAACAAAACAAAACUUUCAACAACGGAUCUCUUGGCUCUCGCAUCGAUGAAGAACGCAGCGAAAUGCGAUAAGUAAUGUGAAUUGCAGAAUUCAGUGAAUCAUCGAAACUUUGAACGCACCUUGCGCCCUCUGGUAUUCCGGAGGGCAUGCCUGUUUGAGUGUCAUGUAGACUCAAUCCCUCGGGUUUCCGAGGAGAUUGGACUUGGGUGUUGCCGCUCUGCCGGCUCGCCUUAAAAGACUUAGCGGGAUAGCACCGUAGUCGGCGUAAUAAGUUUCGUCGGUGAAGGUUGUGAUGACUGCUUACAAUCGCCCUCGGGCAAUUUUUGACUCUGACCUCAAAUCAGGUAGGACUACCCGCUGAACUUAAGCAUAUCAAUAAGCGGAGGA
rnacentral:rRNA from 1 species